rnacentral:rRNA from 1 species
GAUGAACGCUGGCGGCGUGCCUAAUACAUGCAAGUCGAGCGAACAGACGAGGAGCUUGCUCCUCUGACGUUAGCGGCGGACGGGUGAGUAACACGUGGAUAACCUACCUAUAAGACUGGGAUAACUUCGGGAAACCGGAGCUAAUACCGGAUAAUAUAUUGAACCGCAUGGUUCAAUAGUGAAAGACGGUUUUGCUGUCACUUAUAGAUGGAUCCGCGCCGCAUUAGCUAGUUGGUAAGGUAACGGCUUACCAAGGCGACGAUGCGUAGCCGACCUGAGAGGGUGAUCGGCCACACUGGAACUGAGACACGGUCCAGACUCCUACGGGAGGCAGCAGUAGGGAAUCUUCCGCAAAGGGCGAAAGCCUGACGGAGCAACGCCGCGUGAGUGAUGAAGGUCUUCGGAUCGUAAAACUCUGUUAUUAGGGAAGAACAAAUGUGUAAGUAAAUAUGCACGUCUUGACGGUACCUAAUCAGAAAGCCACGGCUAACUACGUG